GGUAGUGUGGCUGAGCGGUCUAAGGUGCUGGAUUUAGGCUCCAGUCUCGGAAGAGGCGUGGGUUCGAAUCCCACUGCUGCCA